rnacentral:tRNA from 1 species
UGGUACUUAGUUUAAAAUAAAAUAAAUGAUUUCGACUCAUUAGAUUAUGAUUUAAUUCAUAAUUACCAACCA